rnacentral:rRNA from 1 species
UGCAAUCUACCUUUUACAGAGGGAUAGCCCAGAGAAAUUUGGAUUAAUACCUCAUAGUAUUUUUGAAUGGCAUCAUUUGAUUACUAAAGUUCCAACGGUAAAAGAUGAGUAUGCGUCCCAUUAGCUAGAUGGUAAGGUAACGGCUUACCAUGGCUACGAUGGGUAGGGGUCCUGAGAGGGAGAUCC